rnacentral:rRNA from 1 species
GACGAACGCUGGCGGCGUGCCUAAUACAUGCAAGUGGAAMGCAUGAUUGAUACCGGAGCUUGCUCCACCAUUAAUCAUGAGUCGCGAACGGGUGAGUAACGCGUAGGUAACCUACCUCAUAGCGGGGGAUAACUAUUGGAAACGAUAGCUAAUACCGCAUAAYAGUAUUUAUCGCAUGGUAAAUACUUGAAAGGAGCAAAUGCUUCACUAUGAGAUGGACCUGCGUUGUAUUAGCUAGUUGGUGGGGUAAUGGCUCACCAAGGCAUCGAUACAUAGCCGACCUGAGAGGGUGAUCGGCCACACUGGGACUGAGACACGGCCCAGACUCCUACGGGAGGCAGCAGUAGGGAAUCUUCGGCAAUGGGGGGAACCCUGACCGAGCAACGCCGCGUGAGUGAAGAAGGUUUUCGGAUCGUAAAGCUCUGUUGUAAGAGAAGAACGUGUGUGAGAGUGGAAAGUUCACACAGUGACGGUAACUUACCAGAAAGGGACGGCUAACUACGUGCCAGCAGCCGCGGUAAUACGUAGGUCCCGAGCGUUGUC